rnacentral:rRNA from 1 species
CCUACGGGUGGCAGCAGUGAGGAAUAUUGGUCAAUGGUCGGGAGACUGAACCAGCCAAGCCGCGUGAGGGAGGAAGGUACAGAGUAUCGUAAACCUCUUUUGUCAGGGAACAAAGACUGGAACGCGUCCCCGGAUGAGUGUACCUGAAGAAAAAGCAUCGGCUAACUCCGUGCCAGCAGCCGCGGUAAUACGGAGGAUGCGAGCGUUAUCCGGUUUUAUUGGGUUUAAAGGGUGCGCAGACGGUCUGUUAAGUCAGCGGGCAAAGCCCGGGGCUCAACCCCGGCCCGCCGUUGAAACUGGCAGUCUCGAGUUGGAGAGAAGUAUGCGGAAUGCGCGGUGUAGCGGUGAAAUGCAUAGAUAUCGCGCAGAACUCCGAUUGCGAAGGCAGCAUGCCGGCUCCACACUGACGCUGAGGCACGAAAGCGUGGGUAUCGAACAGGAUUAGAUACCCCAGUAGUC